GAUGAACGCUGGCGGCGUGCCUAAUACAUGCAAGUCGAGCGAACGGACGAGAAGCUUGCUUCUCUGAUGUUAGCGGCGGACGGGUGAGUAACACGUGGAUAACCUACCUAUAAUACUGGGAUAACUUCGGGAAACCGGAGCUAAUACCGGAUGAUAUUUUGAACCGCAUGGUUCAAAAGUGAAAGACGGCUUUGCUGUCACUUAUAGAUGGAUCCGCGCUGCAUUAGCUAGUUGGUAAGGUAACGGCUUACCAAGGCAACGAUGCAUAGCCGACCUGAGAGGGUGAUCGGCCACACUGGAACUGAGACACGGUCCAGACUCCUACGGGAGGCAGCAGUAGGGAAUCUUCCGCAAUGGGCGAAAGCCUGACGGAGCAACGCCGCGUGAGUGAUGAAGGUCUUCGGAUCGUAAAACUCUGUUAUUAGGGAAGAACAUAUGUGUAAGUAACUGUGCACAUCUUGACGGUACCUAAUCAGAAAGCCACGGCUAACUACGUG
rnacentral:rRNA from 1 species